rnacentral:misc_RNA from 1 species
AUCUCUCAACACGAGAAAAUUUGUUUCUUGUGCUUGGAAAGUGAAGGUUUUGCUGGCGCAAAUAACUGUCAGCUCCUUUUAAAUGCAUUAGCAGAACAGUGUAGGACUGGCCUCAGUUUGAUAAGAAAUAUUUAUCUAUGCUGUCGCUAGAUUUCCUCUUUGUGUUCAGCUUCAAACUGUCUUUGGACUGUCUCUCUUGAGGCAAAAUAAUUUAUU